rnacentral:misc_RNA from 1 species
UUUUUUUUUAAGAAAAACCAAAAAAGAUUUGUUAAAUGCUAUUACAUAAAAAAAAGGAAAUGGGCGAGAAAACAAAACCAAGGAAUAUCUGAAGGGUAGAAUGAAAGGCUUCAAAAUGUACACACAACGUGGUGCGUGGGCCUUUCCAUGAGAGAACAUUUCAUCAAUUCCAGCUAACCACAAUAAACAAUUGCGAAACAGCAA